rnacentral:rRNA from 1 species
UACAGAGGGUGCAAGCGUUGUCCGGAAUCACUGGGCGUAAAGGGCGCGUAGGCGGCCUGAUAAGUCGGGGGUGAAAUUCUGCGGCUUAACCGCAGGACGGCCUUCGAGACUGUCGGGCUUGAGGACUGGAGAGGAGACUGGAAUUUACGGUGUAGCAGUGAAAUGCGUAGAGAUCGUAAGGAAGACCAGUGGCGAAGGCGGGUCUCUGGACAGUUCCUGACACUGAGGCACGAAGGCCAGGGGAGCAAACGGG